UACAACAUUGAAACACUAAUUCCCAUACAAUCACCAAAGUUAAGCAAUGUUUAGCCUGGUCAGUACCUAAAUAGGUGACCACUUGGGAAUACCAGGUUCUGUAAG